rnacentral:rRNA from 1 species
UGCAGUCGAACGGAACAUGUCUAGCUUGCUAGAUGAUGUCGAGUGGCGGACGGGUGAGUAAUACUUAGGAACAUGCCUUUGGGUGGGGGAUAACUAUUGGAAACGAUAGCUAAUACCGCAUAAUGUCUACGGACCAAAGGGGGCUUCGGCUCCCACCAAGAGAUGAACCUAAGCGAGAUUAGCUAGUUGGUGUGGUAAAGGCGCACCAAGGCGACGAUCUCUAGCUGUUCUGAGAGGAAGAUCAGCCACACUGGGACUGAGACACGGCCCAGACUCCUACGGGAGGCAGCAGUGGGGAAUAUUGCACAAUGGGGGAAACCCUGAUGCAGCCAUGCCGCGUGUGUGAAGAAGGCCUUCGGGUUGUAAAGCACUUUCAGUUGUGAGGAAAGUUUGAUGGUUAAUACCCAUUAGAUGUGACGUUAACAACAGAAGAAGGACCGGCUAACUCCGUGCCAGCAGCCGCGGUAAUACGGAGGGUCCGAGCGUUAAUCGGAAUUACUGGGCGUAAAGCGCACGCAGGCGGUUUGUUAAGCUAGAUGUGAAAGCCCCGGGCUCAACCUGGGAAUAGCAUUUAGAACUGGCAGGCUAGAGUCUUGGAGAGGGGAGUGGAAUUUCUGGUGUAGCGGUG